rnacentral:rRNA from 1 species
GCCCUGGCUAAUACGUGCCAGCAGCCGCGGUAAUACGUAUGGGGCAAGCGUUGUCCGGAAUUAUUGGGCGUAAAGGGUAUGUAGGCGGUUAAUUAAGUCUGAAUUUAAAGGCUGUGGCUCAACCACGGUUCGGUUUAGAAACUGGUUAACUUGAGUAGAUGAGGGGAAAGUGGAAUUCCAUGUGUAGCGGUGAAAUGCGUAGAUAUAUGGAGGAACACCAGUGGCGAAGGCGACUUUCUAGAAUCUAACUGACGCUGAGAUACGAAGGCGUGGGUAGCAAACAGGAUUAGAUACCCUGGUAGUCCACGCAGUAAACGAUGAGUGCUAGUUGUUGGGAGUCAAAUCUCAGUGACGCAGCUAACGCAUUAAGCACUCCGCCUGGGGAGUACGUACGCA